rnacentral:rRNA from 1 species
UACGUAGGGUGCAAGCGUUAAUCGGAAUUACUGGGCGUAAAGCGUGCACAGGCGGCUUUGCAAGACAGAUGUGAAAUCCCCGGGCUCAACCUGGGAACUGCAUUUGUGACUGCAGGGCUGGAGUACGGCAGAGGGGGAUGGAAUUCCGCGUGUAGCAGUGAAAUGCGUAGAUAUGCGGAGGAACACCGAUGGCGAAGGCAGUCCCCUGGGCCUGUACUGACGCUCAUGCACGAAAGCGUGGGGAGCAAACAGG